rnacentral:rRNA from 1 species
UACGGGGGGGGCAAGCGUUGUUCGGAUUUACUGGGCGUAAAGGGCUCGUAGGUGGCCAACUAAGUCAGACGUGAAAUCCCUCAGCUUAACUGGGGAACUGCGUCUGAUACUGGAUGGCUUGAGUUUGGGAGAGGGACGCGGAAUUCCAGGUGUAGCGGUGAAAUGCGUAGAUAUCUGGAGGAACACCGGUGGCGAAGGCGGCGUCCUGGACCAACACUGACACUGAUGAGCGAAAGCCAGGGGAGCAAACGGG